rnacentral:rRNA from 3 species
UCAAAUCAGGUAGGACUACCCGCUGAACUUAAGCAUAUCAAUAA